GUCAAGCUCUGGAGGGUGAAGUUGCUCUGACACUGCAGACGCUGACCAACCCUGUUUUAAUAACAGAUGGAUGGAUGUUGGACAGCUGGGAAGAACAUUACAACCGCGCUCUGCAGUGACGGGCCUGGAUUGCCCUUCCAUGCCCUGAGUCUGUUGUGCCUGACGCCAAACUACCUUCACCAAGCACGUUGGUAGAGCAAAGGCUAUUGGUUUGUGUGGUCAAGUUCAAGUUCAAGUGGUUCAAGUUCAAGUUGAGCUUUAUUGUCAUUUCAGCUACACACAUGUUAGACAGUACAUAGUCAAACAAAACCGGUGAGUGUGUGUGUGUGUGUGUGUGUGUGUGUGUGUGUGUGAUGUUAUUGGGGGAAGGCUUGAAGCACUGUGGCUGAAACUUACAUGGGGAACAGCGGAGUGUCUGACUCUGAGUCAGCACUGUGGAAGAAACACACAACACUACAAAAUAGUGCAUGCGGUCCAGUGUUACACUUACAGUGCAUCCUACACUAGUUUGGUAUGUCUGGAAGCAGGGUGUCAUUGCAGUCUAGGGUGAACACUGUUACUCCAAAUAUCAACGACCUCUUCACCUAAUCCUCCUUCGUUAUGUCCUCAUAAUAUGAUAUUACUUUAUGAGCAAUGAAUAAAUCAGACAUGUAUUUACCAGAGUGACGUACUUAGUACCAUUCACAUUCGUUAUGAGUGAAUAUUUAAGCAUAUAAGAUAUUUUGCAUUGUCUGAUUGGUGGUAGUAGCCUAGUGGGUAACACACUCACCUGUGAACCAGAAGACUCAGGUUCAAAUCCCACUUACUACCAUUGUGUCAUUGAGCAGGACACUUAACUCUAGGUUGCUUCAGGGGGACUGUCUCUGUAACUACUGAUUGUAAGUCGCUCUGGAUAAGGCAGUCUGAUGAAUGCUGUUAAUGUAAAUGUUUUCUUACGUCUGCUGGUGUUCCACAAUUGUAGAUAUUACGUCAAUUUUAUAUAAAAUUCCUAGUCACAGAAAUAAUCCAUGUGACACCAUGUGUUGCUUACAGAAACGUGUUGGUUUUGAAAUUCUGCUUCCCUCUUCAGGGCACUGUGACCCUGUACUAUACUGCAGUAGAAGCCUUCCAAGCCACCAAGUCUUUCUUUCAAUGAGUUCGCUCGGUGGGGAACAACAAUGCAUCAAAUGAAAAAGAGACAUGGAUCUACCUUCACAAUGUGCUAAAUGAGGAGAUUUCCAGCUGUUUUUUAUCUUCUAAACAAUGGCCAUUUUGUUCUUAGUCGAAGAUUUUUGCAUUAAUGAGUAGAGUACAUUCAAUGGCAGCCAUAACAAAAAAAAGGUAAUUAGAUAUUAAUUCAUAAUGCAUAUUUCAUGUACAUAUUUUGGCAUGUUUUAAUGUGCUUCAGGUGAAAAUAUGGAAUCUCUUAAAAAUAAUGUUAUUUAAUAAUGUUGUCUUUAACUUGUGCUCCAAGUUGUGUUGAAUUGUUGUAAAUAUACAUGAUUUAUAAAUAAAUAAACAAAUGUUUUAUCA
ensembl:lncRNA